rnacentral:rRNA from 1 species
GAUGAACGCUAGCAGAACGCCUAACACAUGCAAGUCGAACGGAUUUGUUGACUUCGGUUAACAAGUUAGUGGCAAACGGGCGAGUAACACGUGCUUAAUUUGCCCUGGAGAGGGGAACAACUACAGAGAUGUAGCUAAAUCCCCAUACGCUCAUAGAAAUGAAAAUACUAUGAGGAAACGAGCAAUUGCUCUAGGAGAAGGGCGCGGCCUAAUCAGGUAGUUGGUGAGGUAAUAGCUCACCAAGCCUAUGACGGGUAACCGGUCUGAGAGGAUGUCCGGUCGCAAUGGAACUGAGACACGGUCCAUACCCUUACGAGGGGCAGCAGUGGGGAAUAUUGGACAAUGGGCGAAAGCCUGAUCCAGCGAUUCUGCGUGAAGGAUGAAGUUUUGCGGGGUGUAAACUUCUUUUCUGGGGGAAGACGAAUGACGGUACCCCAAGAAUAAGAGACGGCUAACUACGUG